GAUGAACGCUGGCGGCGUGCCUAACACAUGCAAGUCGAACGGAAAGGCCCUGCUUUUGUGGGGUGCUCGAGUGGCGAACGGGUGAGUAACACGUGAGUAACCUGCCCUUGACUUUGGGAUAACUUCAGGAAACUGGGGCUAAUACCGGAUAGGAGCUCCUGCUGCAUGGUGGGGGUUGGAAAGUUUCGGCGGUUGGGGAUGGACUCGCGGCUUACUAGCUUGUUGGUGGGGUAGUGGCUUACCCAGCCUUUGGAGGAUAGCCGGCAUGGGAGGUGGGACGGCGACAAGAGUACUAAGGUACGGAGCAGACGCCAACGGGAGGCAACAGUGGAAAGUAUUACACAGUGAGCGCGAGCCUGAUACGACGGCCCCGCGAGCGGAAAGCCGGCCUUCGGGUUAUGAACCGCUUUAGCCUGAGACGAAGCGGGAGUGACGGUAAUGAGUGAAGAAGCACCGGCUAACUACGUG
rnacentral:rRNA from 1 species